UACGUAGGGUGCGAGCGUUAAUCGGAAUUACUGGGCGUAAAGCGUGCGUAGGCGGCCAACUAAGUCAGACGUGAAAUCCCUCGGCUUAACCGGGGAACUGCGUCUGAUACUGGAUGGCUUGAAUCCGGGAGAGGGAUGCGGAAUUCCAGGUGUAGCGGUGAAAUGCGUAGAUAUCUGGAGGAACACCGGUGGCGAAGGCGGCAUCCUGGACCGGCAUUGACGCUGAGGAGCGAAAGCCAGGGGAGCAAACGGG
rnacentral:rRNA from 1 species